GUGCUUGCUUCAGCAGCACAUAUAUUUAAAUUGUGAUGAUACAGAGAAGAUUAGCAUGGCCCUUGUGCAAGGAUGAAAUGAAAAUUUGUGAAGUAUUCCAUAUUUGU